ensembl:lncRNA
UCCUUAUUGUCAGUCAGUGCGGACGUUCAUACGGUUUUAGUUAGAGGUGUCGUUAUAGUUAUCGUUGGUCAGUGUGCAGACGUUCAUACUGUUUUAGUUAAAGGUGUCGUUAUAGUUAUCGUUGGUCAGUGUGCGGACGUUCAUACUAUUUUAGUUAUAGGUGUCGUUAUAGUUAUCGUUGGCUCUGUGGAGGGGUCGUAACACUCAGACACGCUGAGCUGGAAAGUGUUCUGUGUCCGUGUUCAUGGAAGUAUGUACAGAUGUAACUGAUAUCAUGGAAUCUUGGUCGGGGUUAGACGGUCAAAUGGUGUUCCACAUGUGGGUCUUGGCUAUCACACCUUAUGCUGUUUUUUUUUUUUUUUUUACCAGUCCCUCCCUCUCCCUCUCUGGCUGCAAAAGCAGACAAGACACUGUCUCUGUCUCCGUCUCCACCCCCAACCCCCCCCCCCCCCCCCCCUGUGUGGCAGAAGAGCACAGCCUCACCAGGAAGGAGAUAGGCAGGGAAUGAGGGAAGGGAGCCAGGGGGUGGAGUCAGCGAGGAUGAGGGGAUGCUGGGAAGGAGGAGGACUUAGAGUUGGGGGUGUGCGCUGCAUGUGUGUGUGUGUGUGUGUGUGUGUGUGUGUG